rnacentral:rRNA from 1 species
UUGUCCUACGGGACGCAGCAGUGAGGAAUAUUGGUCAAUGGGCGCGAGCCUGAACCAGCCAAGUCGCGUGAGGGAAGACGGUCCUAUGGAUUGUAAACCUCUUUUGUCGGGGAGCAAAAGACGCCACGCGUGGCGUUCCGAGAGUACCCGAAGAAAAAGCAUCGGCUAACUCCGUGCCAGCAGCCGCGGUAAUACGGAGGAUGCGAGCGUUAUCCGGAAUUAUUGGGCGUAAAGGGUGCGUAGAUGGCAUAGUAAGUCUUUUGUAAAAAUGCUGGGCUCAACCCAGUAGGGCAAAAGAUACUGCA